UUGCUUGGGCAGCACCUAUAUUAAUAUUGGAACAAUACAGAGAAGAUUAGCAUGGCCUCUUGCACAAGGAUGACAUGCAAAUUUGUGAAGCGAUCCAUAUUUUU
ensembl:snRNA U6 U6 spliceosomal RNA